GACGAACGCUGGCGGCGUGCCUAAUACAUGCAAGUAGAACGCACAGUUUAUACCGUAGCUUGCUACACCAUAGACUGUGAGUUGCGAACGGGUGAGUAACGCGUAGGUAACCUGCCUGGUAGCGGGGGAUAACUAUUGGAAACGAUAGCUAAUACCGCAUAAUAUUGAUUAUUGCAUGAUAAUUGAUUGAAAGAUGCUAUUGCAUCACUACCAGAUGGACCUGCGUUGUAUUAGCUAGUAGGUGAGGUAACGGCUCACCUAGGCGACGAUACAUAGCCGACCUGGGAGGGUGGAUCGCCAAACCGGGACUUGGGCAAGGCCCCGAACUCUAACGGAGGCAACAGUAAGGAAUCUUCCGCAAAGGGACGAAGUCCGAACGAGCCACGCCGGGUGAGGGAAGGAGGUUUUCGGAUCGGAAAAGUCUGGUGGUAGGGAAGGAAGGGUGGGAGGGUGGAAAGGUCAACACGGGACGGUAUCUUACCAGAAAGGGACGGCUAACUACGUG
rnacentral:rRNA from 1 species